GAGUGUUGUGCAUCACUACUUGAGCAGGUACCUCCAUGGCUUCUGUAUAGUUUCAGCCUGCCUAUCAUUAAUAACCAAUGCAUCUUGGUUGCCUUUGUAUAUUUAUAUGCUCUCUGCCACGAGUAGCUCGUCUACUCUUGUAAUCUUCUUAAUUACCUUACUUUCUUGCACUUUAUAUUAAUGUUAUUUUCAAAAGCUUUCCUGGCUAAGGCUGUCAUGAAAUUAGCAUUUUUUAUGUCUUUUUUAUGUUCUAAUCUAUCUUUCAAAUUCCUAGAUGUUGCCCCUAUCUAUACUUCCUCAGGUCCAAGUUCUGCAGAAGGAUUUCAUAUAUGCUUGUUCCUUCUUCUCAGGUGUAAGGGUCCAUCACAUUUCUUAACAAGUUAAGGACUGUGGGAGGUCUCCUAUAAGUGUGUUUUUUGGCUUUCUUUUUCAUUAUCUUUUUAACCGUUUAAAGUUACUAAUAGCUCCAGGUAUCACUGUGUAUCUAUUUAUGUGGGCGUCGUAUUGAUCGUGGUUGUCAGGGUUCUUUUUUUCUGGGCUCGGGUCUGAGCCGGCUUUUUUCUUUGCAUUAAGUUCUUUCAAUAAUUUAUCUAUUAGUUUUCUUGUACCCAUGGUUUACUGCUAUUAUUUUUAUCUUGCUCAUCUCUUUCAAACGCUUCUUCCUUGCUGCAGUGAGUGAGUGCCCUUGCCAAAAGUAAUCUUAGGGCUGCUUUCUUAUUUCAGACUGAUUUCAAUAAAUUAUGCUUUAUAAAUUUUGCUUUAUAAAGUAAAAUUUGCUUUAUAAAUUACUUGAUUUUAUUUUAUUUCAGACUGAUUUCUUAUUGGACAGAUUAUUAGAUCAGAUUAUAACAGACUGAUUUCUUAUUUCUAUUAUGUUGCCUG
rnacentral:lncRNA from 1 species